rnacentral:SRP_RNA from 1 species
UGGCGGGUCUCCCCGCAUGGCAACUUGGAACAACGGGUCAGGGGCGGAAGCCAGCAGCCCAUUCCGACGCGCCAGUGCCGGGGGUCGGGCUCGCCGCCCC